UGCCAGCAGCCGCGGUAAUACGGAGGGCGCAAGCAUUAAUCGGAUUUACUGGGCGUAAAGAGCAUGUAGGCGGAUGAAUUAGUCAGAGGUGAAAGCCCCGAGCUCAACUUGGGAACUGCCUUUGAUACUGUCUAUCUAGAGUCCGAGAGAGGUUAGUGGAAUUCCCAGUGUAGAGGUGAAAUUCGUAGAUAUUGGGAAGAACACCAGUGGCGAAGGCGGCUAACUGGCUCGGUACUGACGCUGAGAUGCGAAAGCGUGGGGAGCAAACAGGAUUAGAUA
rnacentral:rRNA from 1 species